AUUGAACGCUGGCGGCAGGCUUAACACAUGCAAGUCGAGCGAGCGGCGGACGGGUGAGUAAUGUCUGGGAAACUGCCUGAUGGAGGGGGAUAACUACUGGAAACGGUAGCUAAUACCGCAUACCAUCAGAUGUGCCCAGAUGGGAUUAGCUAGUAGGUGGGGUAAUGGUUCACCUAGGCGACGAUCCCUAGCUGGUCUGAGAGGAUGACUAGCAACACGGGAAAUGAUACACGGUCCAGAGCCCUACGGAAUGCAGCAGUGGGGAAUAUUGCACAAUGGUGGCAAGCUUGAUGCAGCCAUGCAGAGUGUGUGAAGAAGGCCUCCGGGUUGUAAAGCACUAUCAGCGAGGAGGAGUUACUCGCAGAAGAAGCACCGGCUAACUCCGUGCCAGCAGCCGCGGUAAUAC
rnacentral:rRNA from 1 species